CUGAGAAUAAUGCCCGAUAGAACAUUAUGCCUGGAAUGGUUUAUGUUUCAAAUGAUUUAUCGCCAUAGGAUGGGACUGCGGCCUAUCAGUUUGUUGGUGAGGUAAUGGCCCACCAAGACUAUUACAGGUACGGGCUCUGAGAGGAGUGGCCCGGAGAUGGGUACUGAGACACGGACCCAGGCCCUAUGGGGCGCAGCAGGCGAGAAAACUUUGCAAUGUGCGAAAGCACGACAAGGUUAAUCCGAGUGGUUUCUGCUAAAGAAACCUUUUGUCAGUCCUAGAAACACUAACGAAUAAGGGGUGGGCAAGUUCUGGUGUCAGCCGCCGCGGUAAAACCAGCACCUCAAGUGGUCAGGAUGAUUAUUGGGCCUAAAGCAUCCGUAGCUCGUUUUGUAAGUUUUCGGUUAAAUCCAUGCGCUUAACGUAUGGGCUGCCGGGAAUACUGCAUAACUAGGAAGUGGGAGAGGUAGACGGUACUCGGUAGGAAGGGGUAAAAUCCUUUGAUCUAUUGAUGACCACCUGUGGCGAAGGCGGUCUACCAGAACACGUUCGACGGUGAGGGAUGAAAGCUGGGGGAGCAAACCGGAUUAGAUACCCGGGUAGUCCCAGCUGUAAACUAUGCAAA
rnacentral:rRNA from 1 species